CUCCCAUCAACCUCCAAAGAACUCUGUCUGGAUCACACAUUAGAACCUGGAUCAUCUCAAGGACCACUGCAAAGAGAUCACAACCCCAGACUCCAUAAUACCUCCCCCCAACCUCCUGCCAGAAACUCAUCACACCAAAGUUCUGAUGACCCCGGCUUCCCAUCCACAGGACAAGAACUGCACGUUCUCACAUUUCAUCAUUGUCAAAAUAAACUUUAUUUAUCUGA